rnacentral:rRNA from 1 species
AUACGUAGGUGACAAGCGUUAUCCGGAUUUACUGGGCGUAAAGGGCGUGUAGGCGGUCUUGCAAGUCAGAAGUGAAAUUCCUGAGCUCAACUCGGGCGCUGCUUCUGAAACUGCAGGACUUGAGUGCUGGAGGGGAUAGCGGAAUUCCUAGUGGAGCGGUAAAAUGCGCAGAUAUUAGGAAGAACACCGGUGGCGAAGGCGGCUAGCUGGACAGUAACUGACGCUGAGGCGCGAAAGCGUGGGGAGCAAACAGGAUUAGAUACCCUGGUAGUCCACGCGGUAAACGAUGAAUGCUAGGUGUUGCGGGUAUCGACCCCUGCAGUGCCGGAGUAAACACAAUAAGCAUUCCGCCUGGGGAGUACGGCCGCAAGGUUGAAACUCAAAUGAAUUGACGGGG